rnacentral:rRNA from 1 species
UACAGAGGUCUCAAGCGUUGUUCGGAUUCAUUGGGCGUAAAGGGUGCGUAGGUGGCGGGGCAAGUUGGAUGUGAAAUCCCGGAGCUUAACUCCGGAACUGCAUUCAAUACUGCCUUGCUAGAGUACUGGAGAGGAGAUUGGAAUUUACGGUGUAGCAGUGAAAUGCGUAGAUAUCGUAAGGAAGACCAGUGGCGAAGGCGGAUCUCUGGACAGUUACUGACACUGAGGCACGAAGGCCAGGGAGCAAAGCGGG